rnacentral:rRNA from 1 species
CGGAACGGGUGAGUAAUGCGUGACCAACCUGCCCCAUGCUCCAGAAUAGCUCUUGGAAACGGGUGGUAAUGCUGGAUGCUCCAACUUGACGCAUGUCUUGUUGGGAAAGUGUUUAGUGGCAUGGGAUGGGGUCGCGUCCUAUCAGCUUGUAGGCGGGGUAAUGGCCCACCUAGGCUUCGACGGGUAGCCGGCCUGAGAGGGCGGACGGCCACAUUGGGACUGAGAUACGGCCCAGAUUCCUACGGGAGGCAGCAGGG